rnacentral:piRNA from 1 species
UGCAGAUUAAAGAAUGUCAUAACUGGGCC